rnacentral:rRNA from 1 species
AGAGUUUGAUCCUGGCUCAGGACAAACGCUGGCGGCGUGCUUAACACAUGCAAGUCUAAGGAGAACGUUAUCUUCGGAUAACAAGUAAACUGGCGAACGGGUGAGUAACGCGUAGGCUACCUACCUUUAAGAUUGGGAUAACGUUUGGAAACGAACGCUAAUACCAAAUAAUAUUCUUUGAAUCAAAGGGGGCUUCGGCUCUUGCUUAAAGAUGGGCCUGCGUCUGAUUAGCUAGAUGGUAAGGUAAUGGCUUACCAUGGCAACGAUCAGUAGCUGGUUCGAGAGGAUGAUCAGCCACACUGGGACUGAGAUACGGCCCAGACUCCUUUGGGAGGCAGCAGUGGGGAAUUUUGCGCAAUGAGGGAAACCUUGACGCAGCAACGCCGCGUGAUCGAAGAAGCUUCUAGGAGUGUAAAGAUCUGUCAUAGGGGAAGAAAUGCUCAUAUUCUAACACAAUAUUUGCUUGACGGUACCCUAUAAGAAAGCUCCGGCUAACUAGGUGCCAGCAGCCGCGGUAAUACCUGGGGGGCAAGCGUUGUCCGGAUUCAUUGGGCGUAAAGGGCUCGUAGGUGGACUGACCAGUCAAAAUUGAAAUACAAUGGCUUAACCAUUGGCACGGUUUUGAUACUAUCAGUCUUGAGUGAAAUAGAGGUAAGCGGAAUUCCUAGUGUAGCGGUGAAAUGCGUAGAUAUUAGGAGGAACACCAAAGGCGAAGGCAGCUUACUGGAUUUAUACUGACACUGAGGAGCGAAAGCGUGGGUAGCAAACAGGAUUAGAGACCCUGGUAGUCCACGCCGUAAACGAUGAGCACUUGGUGGUGGAGGAUUCGACCCCUUCACUGUCGUAGCUAACGCGUUAAGUGCUCCGCCUGGGGACUACGACCGCAAGGUUGAAACUCAAAGAAAUUGACGGGGACCCGCACAAGCGGUGGAUUAUGUGGUUUAAUUCGAUGCAACGCGAAGAACCUUACCUGGAUUUGACAUAUUUUUGAAAGCUCUGUGAAAGCAGAGCCCUUUUUGCGCUUGCGUAAAAACAAUUAUACAGGUGAUGCAUGGCUGUCGUCAGCUCGUGUCGUGAGAUGUUCGGU